GAUGAACGCUGGCGGCGUGCCUAAUACAUGCAAGUCGAGCGAACGGACGAGAAGCUUGCUUCUCUGAUGUUAGCGGCGGACGGGUGAGUAACACGUGGAUAACCUACCUAUAAGACUGGGAUAACUUCGGGAAACCGGAGCUAAUACCGGAUAAUAUUUUGAACCGCAUGGUUCAAAAGUGAAAGACGGUCUUGCUGUCACUUAUAGAUGGAUCCGCGCUGCAUUAGCUAGUUGGUAAGGUAACGGCUUACCAAGGCAACGAUGCACAGCCGACCUGAGAGGGUGAUCGGCCACACUGGAACUGAGACACGGUCCAGACUCCGACGGGAGGCAGCAGUAGGGAAUCUUCCGCAAUGGGCGAAAGCCUGACGGAGCAACGCCGCGUGAGUGAUGAAGGUCUUCGGAUCGUAAAACUCUGUUAUUAGGGAAGAACAUAUGUGUAAGUAACUGUGCACAUCUUGACGGUACCUAAUCAGAAAGCCACGGCUAACUACGUG
rnacentral:rRNA from 1 species